rnacentral:lncRNA from 1 species
AAUCAAAUCGUCAUUGCACUCAGUUGAGCGUCUGGGCCAUUUCGCUCAAUGUAGUACUUUUUCUACAACAGAAAUUUUUCAUAUAGAACUUCUUGAGGAAUUCUCUCUUUCAGAUGUAGCCCAACAUUAUCUCUAAACUCAUCAUCAGUCUAGUCAAUGACUAAAUGUCUUUACUCAAAUUAGCGUUGCAUGACAUAAUAUACCUCAAGACAGUUUUGUUGGAUAUGGCCAAGUCGGAAGUUAAUGGAAAGUGAGAGAUUUGGAAUCAAAGAAGAAUGCGUAAAGAAAGUGGAUGAACAAGGUUUACACAAUAAAUAAGAAUGUUGAAAAAAUAAACUGUGAAAGAGUUCUAGCUAAAUGACUCUUUUUGUUUUACUAUGGCUAAUAAAUGUUAAGUCAUGCAUUAAAAAUUAAAAAUUUAGCGAUUAAAUGGCUAUCAUUAUAUUCUUCAUCGAUUAGAUAAUCAUGAGUUUAACCUUAGGUUUGAAGUUCUAAGCAUUAAUAGAAAAUAAAGAUUUCUUAGGUAUUUAAAGAUGGGAGAAUUAAUGGCCGGUCCAGUGUUGGACCGGACUAUAAUUUUUAGUCCCUAUUUACUAUUUUUGUAACAGCCGGUCC